rnacentral:tRNA from 1 species
GCUUUCGUGGUGUAGUUGGUUAUCACAUCUGCCUAACACGCAGAAGGUCUUCGGUUCAAACCCGAACGAAAGCA